AGUUUGAUCCUGGCUCAGGAUGAACGCUAGCUACAGGCUUAACACAUGCAAGUCGAGGGGAAACGAUAUUGGAAGCUUGCUUCCGAUAGGCGUCGACCGGCGCACGGGUGAGUAACGCGUAUCCAACCUGCCCAUCACUUGGGGAUAACCUUGCGAAAGUAAGACUAAUGCCCAAUGACGUUGAAAGAAGACAUCUGAUUUCAACUAAAGAUUUAUCGGUGAUGGAUGGGGAUGCGUCUGAUUAGCUUGUUGGCGGGGUAACGGCCCACCAAGGCUACGAUCAGUAGGGGUUCUGAGAGGAAGGUCCCCCACAUUGGAACUGAGACACGGUCCAAACUCCUACGGGAGGCAGCAGUGAGGAAUAUUGGUCAAUGGGCGAGAGCCUGAACCAGCCAAGUAGCGUGCAGGAUGACGGCCCUAUGGGUUGUAAACUGCUUUUAUAAGGGAAUAAGGUGGGGCUCGUGAGCUCCUCUGCAUGUACCUUAUGAAUAAGGACCGGCUAAUUCCGUGCCAGCAGCCGCGGUAAUACGGAAGGUCCGGGCGUUAUCCGGAUUUAUUGGGUUUAAAGGGAGCGUAGGCCGCAGGUUAAGCGUGUUGUGAAAUGUAGGGGCUCAACCUCUGCACUGCAGCGCGAACUGGCUUGCUUGAGUACGCACAACGUGGGCGGAAUUCGUGGUGUAGCGGUGAAAUGCUUAGAUAUCACGAAGAACUCCGAUUGCGAAGGCAGCUCACGGGAGCGCAACUGACGCUGAAGCUCGAAAGUGCGGGUAUCGAACAGGAUUAGAUACCCUGGUAGUCCGCACGGUAAACGAUGGAUGCCCGCUGUUGGCUUGAAUUAGUCAGCGGCCAAGCGAAAGCAUUAAGCAUCCCACCUGGGGAGUACGCCGGCAACGGUGAAACUCAAAGGAAUUGACG
rnacentral:rRNA from 1 species